rnacentral:rRNA from 1 species
AUGGUGUAUAUAUGCAUGCAAACUAGAAAGACCCCCCCCCACACACACAAAGAGAGAGAGAGAGAGAGAGAGAGAGAGAGAUGGAGAGAAAGGGAGAGGGACCGACAAGGUUUUUGUGUUGGAUGCGUGCGACAGAAUUGA